AUGAAGACCGAAUCCCCGCGUUAUCUCCAUAACCCUCUUCUCACCCUCCUCUUCCUCGCAGCAGCAGUAGCAGCAGCCGUCCAGAUCGCCAUGGCGGCCGAGCCGGAGCAGGCGCCCGCGGCGCAGGAGGCGGCCGUGCACAUCGUCUACAUGGACUGCCCCGAGGACGCCGACCCCGAGGAGUUCCACAUCCACACCCUCGCCCCCGUCCUCGGCAGGUACUGUACCGUGCCGUGGAAUCGAACCGGAUCCACGGCCGAUUGGCUCGGCUUUGCGCCGUCCCUGGCGCCUGCCUGUGGGAUCUAG
rnacentral:rRNA from 1 species